UAACCAAGUCUGACCAAGGACAACUGGCCUGUACUGCUGACAAUGGACACAUGAUGACACCUGGACGGGCAGAUGCAACUAUAAAUGUGACAUAUCCACCGGAGAUCCACCUGUCAACAAGACAAGAUGUCAUCAAGUGUCAUGGUCGGGCAUGUCGUAGAAGUUGAAUGUGUCGUUGACGAUGCAAACCCUGCCGUCAACUCCUACAUAUGGCGUCACAACGGCGAUAUCAGUUACGGACAGACUUUUCUGAAACACGUGUCGUCUUCUGAUUCGGGUAACCUAUCGUGCUCUGCUACCAAUAGACAAGGGACAUCAACUGUUCAAACAAGCAUCACAGUCUUGCAAGCUGUCUCUUUGAUCGGGGACAAUGGCACUACAAGCAACAAUACAGUGAUUGCCAUAGCAACAGGAUCUGUUGGCCUGGUCAUCAUCAUCAUCCUCAUCAUCAUCAUCAUCUAUCAGG